rnacentral:rRNA from 1 species
GUAGGAGCCUAGCGUUAUCCGAAUUUACUGGGCGUAAAGCGCGUGCAGGCGGCUUCGUAAGUGGAUUGUGAAAUCUCCCGGCUCAACUGGGAGGGGACGGUUCAGACUGCGAAGCUGGAGGCAGGGAGAGGGAGGUGGAAUUCCCGGUGUAGUGGUGAAAUGCGUAGAGAUCGGGAGGAACACCUGUGGCGAAAGCGGCCUCCUGGCCCUGACCUGACGCUGAGAUGCGAAAGCUAGGGGAGCGAACGGGAUUAGAAACCCCGGUAGUCCUAGCCGUAAACGAUGUCGACUGGGCGGCGGUGGGGUAAAAGCCAUCGGUGCCGCAGCUAACGCGAUAAGUCGACCGCCUGGGGACUACGGCCGCAAGGUUAAA